ACAUGCAAGUCGAACGGCAGCACGGACUUCGGUCUGGUGGCGAGUGGCGAACGGGUGAGUAAUGUAUCGGAACGUACCUUUCAGUGGGGGAUAACGUAGCGAAAGUUACGCUAAUACCGCAUAUUCUGUUGAGCAGGAAAGCAGGGGAUCGCAAGACCUUGCGCUGAUUGAGCGGCCGAUAUCAGAUUAGCUAGUUGGUGGGGUAAAAGGCCUACCAAGGCUACGAUCUGUAGCGGGUCUGAGAGGAUGAUCCGCCACACUGGAACUGAGACACGGUCCAGACUCCUACGGGAGGCAGCAGUGGGGAAUUUUGGACAAUGGGGGCAACCCUGAUCCAGCCAUGCCGCGUGAGUGAAGAAGGCCUUCGGGUUGUAAAGCUCUUUCGGCCGGGAAGAAAUCGCAUAGGCUAAUACCCUGUGUGGAUGACGGUACCGGAAUAAGAAGCACCGGCUAACUACGUG
rnacentral:rRNA from 1 species